ensembl:rRNA 5S_rRNA 5S ribosomal RNA
GCUUACGGCCAUACCAAGGACGAAGGACGCCCGAUCUCGUCUGAUCUCGGAAGCUAAGGAGGGCUGGGCCUGCUUAGUACUUGGAUGGGAGACUGCCUGGGAGCGCCAGGCGCUGUGAGCU